UACGUAGGGUGCGAGCGUUAAUCGGAAUUACUGGGCGUAAAGCGUGCGCAGGCGGUUUGACAAGUCCGAUGUGAAAGCCCCGGGCUCAACCUGGGAAUGGCAUUGGAAACUGGCGAGCUUGAGUGUGGCAGAGGGGGGUGGAAUUCCGCGUGUAGCAGUGAAAUGCGUAGAGAUGCGGAGGAACACCGAUGGCGAAGGCAGCCCCCUGGGCUGACACUGACGCUCAGGCACGAAAGCGUGGGGAGCAAACAGG
rnacentral:rRNA from 1 species